rnacentral:rRNA from 1 species
UACGGGGGGGGCAAGCGUUGUUCGGAAUUACUGGGCGUAAAGGGCUCGUAGGCGGCCAACUAAGUCAGACGUGAAAUCCCUCGGCUUAACCGGGGAACUGCGUCUGAUACUGGAUGGCUUGAGUUCGGGAGAGGGAUGCGGAAUUCCAGGUGUAGCGGUGAAAUGCGUAGAUAUCUGGAGGAACACCGGUGGCGAAGGCGGCUGGCUAGACCUGUAUUGACGCUGAGGCACGAAAGCGUGGGGAGCGAACAGG